rnacentral:rRNA from 1 species
AGUGAACGCUGGCGGUAGGCCCAACACAUGCAAGUCGAACGGCAGCACAGUAAGAGCUUGCUCUUACGGGUGGCGAGUGGCGGACGGGUGAGGAAUACAUCGGAAUCUACUUUUUCGUGGGGGGUAACGUAGGGAAACUUACGCUAAUACCGCAUACGACCUACGGGUGAAAGCAGGGGAUCUUCGGACCUUGCGCGAUUGAAUGAGCCGAUGUCGGAUUAGCUAGUUGGCGGGGUAAAGGCCCACCAAGGCGACGAUCCGUAGCUGGUCUGAGAGGAUGAUCAGCCACACUGGAACUGAGACACGGUCCAGACUCCUACGGGAGGCAGCAGUGGGGAAUAUUGGACAAUGGGCGCAAGCCUGAUCCAGCCAUACCGCGUGGGUGAAGAAGGCCUUCGGGUUGUAAAGCCCUUUUGUUGGGAAAGAAAAGCAGCAGGUUAAUACCCCGCUGUUCUGACGGUACCCAAAGAAUAAGCACCGGCUAACUUCGUG